rnacentral:rRNA from 1 species
AUUGAACGCUGGCGGAAUGCUUUACACAUGCAAGUCGAACGGCAGCACGGACUUCGGUCUGGUGGCGAGUGGCGAACGGGUGAGUAAUACAUCGGAACGUGCCCAAUCGUGGGGGAUAACGUAGCGAAAGCUACGCUAAUACCGCAUACGAUCUAAGGAUGAAAGCGGGGGAUCGCAAGACCUCGCGCGAUUGGAGCGGCCGAUGGCAGAUUAGGUAGUUGGUAGGGUAAAGGCCUACCAAGCCGACGAUCUGUAGCUGGUCUGAGAGGAUGAUCAGCCACACUGGGACUGAGACACGGCCCAGACUCCUACGGGAGGCAGCAGUGGGGAAUUUUGGACAAUGGACGCAAGUCUGAUCCAGCCAUUCCGCGUGCAGGAUGAAGGCCCUCGGGUUGUAAACUGCUUUUGUACAGAACGAAAAGGCUCUGGUUAAUACCUAGGGCUCAUGACGGUACUGUAAGAAUAAGCACCGGCUAACUACGUGCCAGCAGCCGCAUAA